CCCUUAGAUGUUCUGGGCCGCACGCGUGCUACACUGAACGGUUCAAUGGGUGAGGUAGUGCGAAAGCAUGACCCAAUCUCAAAAUCCGUUCGUGCUGGGGAUAGAAGCUUGCAAUUCUCCUUCUUGAGCGAGGAAUACCUUGUAAGCGCGAGUCAUCAUCUCGCGCUGAAUACGUCCCUGCCCUUUGUACACACCGCCCGUCGCUCCUACCGAUUGAGUGGUCCGGUGAGGCUUCGGGAGAGCUAAAUGGAUUGUGUUUCACAAACUAUUUGGCUUGAACUUAGUCAAACCUUACUACUUAGAGGAAGGAGAAGUCGUAACA
rnacentral:rRNA from 1 species